rnacentral:piRNA from 1 species
CUGUUUAGGGAUAUAUGCUACUGUUAGU